rnacentral:rRNA from 1 species
ACCCAGAGGGCCCUCACUCGGUAAUGAUCCUUCCGUAGGUGAACCUGCGGAAGGAUCAUUACCGAGUGAGGGCCCUCUGGGUCCAACCUCCCACCCGUGUUUAUUCUACCUUGUUGCUUCGGCGGGCCCGCCUCACGGCCGCCGGGGGGCAUCCGCCCCCGGGCCCGCGCCCGCCGAAGACACCAUUGAACUCUGUCUGAAGAUUGCAGUCUGAGCAGAUUAGCUAAAUCAGUUAAAACUUUCAACAACGGAUCUCUUGGUUCCGGCAUCGAUGAAGAACGCAGCGAAAUGCGAUAAGUAAUGUGAAUUGCAGAAUUCAGUGAAUCAUCGAGUCUUUGAACGCACAUUGCGCCCCCUGGUAUUCCGGGGGGCAUGCCUGUCCGAGCGUCAUUGCUGCCCUCAAGCACGGCUUGUGUGUUGGGCUUCGCCCCCCGGCUCCCGGGGGGCGGGCCCGAAAGGCAGCGGCGGCACCGCGUCCGGUCCUCGAGCGUAUGGGGCUUCGUCACCCGCUCUGUAGGCCCGGCCGGCGCCCGCCGGCGACCCCAAUCAAUCUUUUCAGGUUGACCUCGGAUCAGGUAGGGAUACCCGCUGAACUUAAGCAUAUCAAUAAGCGGAGGA